UGAUUCCCCUGUAGAUGGUACGCUCUAGACCCUUCUGGAACAGUUUUUGGAUGAUUUGCUCCACACAGUGAAGCGUCUCACCGUUCUCCAGCAAAUCCCGGCAGGCACACACACGCCAGCUCACCGCUGAGAUCAGUACAGUUGCCAUAAUUGAAACAGUGGGCAAUAAGUUCCAGAGAUCCUAAGGCACGUGCUGGUUCAUCACUGAGGUUUACCAAAAGACCUGUACACAAGAUACAAUUUUGGAUUCAGUUAAUCUACAGUGCAGUUACUUCCAUCGUGGUGCUCAGAAAACUGCUUUUCCUUCCAGCCUACGAUACAGACGUAGAGUGAUUAUUUCUAUUAUGAACACAAGUACCGCGGUGUGAGAAUGUCAUCCAGACUCUUUGAAAGUAGGUUUCCAGUUGAAGGAUGUGACUUCCAGAAAGUGCAAAGCAAAAAUUCCCUGCAGACAUCUCUGAAAUGUUUCAGCAUGGGUCUUGGCAAGUAUUAAAUUCCUCCUGGAAAUGUUGGCCUCUGUGCUAAAGUAUUAGAUAAUAUUAUGGGAACAAUAGGUAAUAGUAAGUGCCCCAAAGGGAUAUCAAGUUCCCGCUAAGUAUCGGUUCAGACAGCAUUCAUCUUAAUGCCAAUGCAUUUCUUAUAGGCUGCAGUUUUGUAUCAAACUACGUCCUGAAAGAUUGUCAGUUCGAAUUAUACUGUUCACAAGGUAAAAUGAAAUAUUCUGGCUUCCAAACUUGUGUUGAUUUAGAAUAUUUCACACCUAUUUUAUUCACUGGGAGUGAUACUGACUUCAGUGACAAUGACAUCCACGUUGACAUGAUGUCACCCUGUUCCCAUGCCAGUGAAAUGUCCCCUGCAUGGAGAUGGCACAGUAUCUAUAAGCAUCAUGUUGGGUGUGAGAGGGGGAAAUAAUGGUCAUUGCAGUUAUAAUUCAUUUGUGUUCUGGUAGUAUCCAGGGGUCUCCUUAAAUCAUCAGGUGGUUUGUUGCCGAAUUCGACAGCUUAACUGCAUCUUAGAUUCCGUGUGUGGGUAUGCUGAGAUCUUUGCACAUGUUGAAUUUCAGAAAGCACUUUCUAUUUUCCUAGGUAUCAAGAUUUCUUUUGGUAAAAUAAGACAUUUUUAUAGCGUCUUCCUCCAAUACAGUGAAAACCUUGGUGACUGUGGUUGUUGCGUACAGGCAGCUGCUGAGAGUUUUUUUCGUCUUAGCACCCAAAUUUGAACUUUAGCAACUUUGUUCCCCAGGCGCUGUUUUGUGGGACUUGGACUUCUAAAUCUGGGCCCCUGAGACACUGGGGUACAAGUGUUUCUAAGCCCGCAGUUCUAAGGUAGUUAGUGCUAUCACAGAAAUACCAUUGUGCCAUCAGAAACUGCAUCUAAUACCUUGACCACACACUAGAUGUUUUGCUCCAUAUAGAAGCACCUACGGGAACAGACAUGCUAGCAGCAGUAAACAAGAAUUCCUCACAGUGGCCGCUGUCUGUAUGUGUUCCUCAUGCUAGUAGGGUAAGAUUUCCUCCUAGCAUUCAGCCACACAGAGUAAAGGACUUGACCAACCCACUGGGGUAGCAGAGCGAGGAGUGAAACUCCCCAUCCCCACCAGGACUUAUGAAGGACUUGCUACAGGUCCUCAGCUAACCUACGGGAACAACUCACAUGGUUGAAGAACAGCAGAUGCGAGCUCUUUUGAAAAUAUAGUCCUGAAUGUUGCUAGACAGUAGAAAUGAGCUGUAGUCUCAAGAUGCAGCUCACACAGCUCUCUGUUUUCUUAAAUAAGAUUAAUCCGAAUGAGUGAAACCGUCUGGCAGAAUCUGACUACUGAAGAAGAGAUCAAACUCAACCCAUGCAAACCUUGACCAUGCCCAUUCCUACAGCAGCAAAGUCAGACUUCAGUAUUAAUUUAACGAAGUAGAUUAUUAAAACAUGUCCUAAUGUAACAUACUCUUUAAAAAAGGCAGGAAAUUAGUAACUUAAAUUAUUACCCCAACUUUCAUUUUGAUAUGAUAAUCACAACUGGCUAACUGGUCAAGAAAUGGGAUUAACUUUCUGAGGACUGUGCAGGCAGAAGUUACUGUACUUGCUAUACAUUACAUUAGCAGUUACGGACACCACUAGUCUAACAAACUGCGCCAUUUUUGGCCGCUUAAUCUGAUUCUGUAACAAUUUGGCAUUUAUUUAGGGCCAUACCCUUCUACCUGUCGGAAGUCCCCGCUGAUUUUGAAAGUAGGUGUUGCACUUGUAAUUCAAGACAGGAAGAAAAGCUUUUGUAUCUGGGCAAACUUGAUGGAAAUCCUGCAAGUUCCUUAACAAUAAUGAGAAAAAUGUAUCCACUCACAUUUAUCAUACAGAAAAAUAAGCACAAGUGUUUUGGACUGUAUGUCAUGGCAAAUGUGAGAGGUGUUUUCCAAGCACUGAGAAGGAAUAUGAACUUAGACGGUCAUUUCUCUUAACAAUUUAGUCUUUGAAUUUUUGGAGCCUUUUAAAUGGAAGAGGUGUUUUGUUUUUUUUAUUUUUGUUUGUUGGUUGUUUUGUUUUUAAAUGGUCUUUUAUUUAAAAAUUGCUGGGAAAAAAAUGUUUUCACAAUUUAAAAAUGUAUAACCUGCUUGCUCAUUUUUUUCCCCUGUGGACAAGUAAAAUAAUUUCUAAAGUGUUUUCAAAAGUUUGAAAAUUAAAUUAAGAUUCCUCCAACCAAACCUUUCAACUAAUCCAAGCCACUUCUUAUAUCAAAUAUUUUCAAGGCAAUAAAUAUUAAAGAUUUCAAUCUUUGGUUUAGGUUGGCAACAGGAAAAUAUUUUCGGUAAGAAAGAAAAGCAUUCUCACUCCCAGAUUUCCUUUGAAGUCUCUUCUACCUGUCUUGAUUCAAAUAAAGGGCACUAGUGUAAGCAGAAUUUCAAAAACGCUCCUAAGAGGAAAGGCACUGCUUGUGGAUCUUUAUGAAAGGCAUCCAGAUAUGUCAGCCCUUUCACCACCAUUCGCAACAAAGCAUCCCUCCACAGUCAUUGUGGGUGAGACCAGUGAAACUGCACUACGCUUAACAGAUGUCACAAAAAAUUCUGCAGUAGAAAAGGAUCUUGAGAGAACAUGAUUCCUCCAGAAGAAACUCUGCGAGCCUUUGGUUUAGAAGUGCUACAAGGGCUCUGAAUUUUGUCUAAUAAAAUAAAACUAAGAACUGUUUCUCCCCUUCAGCUAUUUUUACUGGAAAAGUAUACUUUCUAAAAUGAAUUAACAUCAAUCUUGGGAAAAUAGGUAGCCAGAGCAAAAGAGACGUACAACUACCCCAAAUGUAAGAAUUUACUGAAAUGGUUUUAGGUCCAGCAAUACCCCAGGCAGCAAGUUGUUUUUUUGUUUGCUUGCUUGCUUGCUUUGCUGUGUUUGUUGUUGUUUAUUUUAUAUAUAUAUAUAUAUAUAUAUAUGUAUGUAUAGGUAUAGAUAUAUGUUUUAAUUUAUUUUAUAUAAAAAAAUAAUAGUCCUGUAAUAAUCACCUUGUAACAAUGACUUUAAUUUUAAGGUCAUUGUUACAAGUUGAUUAUUUCAGGAUUACUGCAAGUGUUUUGCACUUUGGAAUGACUACAGCAAGACAUCCUGCUGUUGUAUUUAUACUAGCGUUUUACUAACUCAGUGAUCAUUUAUUUUUUUUUAAAUUUUUAUUUUGGUUAGUAUGGUUUUUUUUAAAUACCUUUUCUGUAGCAAUUUCUUGUACAAGCUUCUUUGGUUAGUGAUGCAUAUUGGAUCACUAGCUGAGCAGAAUUAAUUCUGUAUUUCCAGUCAUUUUUAGUUAAACAGUUUUCUUCUAUGCUGCGUGCUUGCACAAUGCACAUGGUAACUACUGCUUUAUUUGACUGAAAGCAGGUUUGUCUCGCUUCAGGUUUUUAGCAGCAGCCAGUCUCAAAGCAUAAUUAAUCUAUUUGUGUUCUGCCUCUUGAUAUCAGAAUCAGAAUUAUAUUUUCUUAGAAAAAGAAAAAAAAGAUUGUAAUUACUAUUCAAAUAUAUUAAGAAAUCAUAUAAUAUGUACCACCUAAAAUAAAAGGUGGUCCUGAAAUUUAUACCACACUGGUGCUUCAGAAAUAGAUGUAAUGCAUUCAUUAUGUUGUGUUUUUUUCUUACAGUAAGCGGAGUAAUACAAGCUGUAAGCUUCAUAACUACAUCCUUUCAUCCUGACUGUAAGUAAAUGGGCAAUGCAUCAUAGAAUAUGUAAGCUGGACUCAGACAAAUGAACAAGCACAGAUAAAAACACUCAUAUAACCCUAAAAUAUCCUUCUGGUUUUAGAACUGGGUGUUGUGGGGGGUGGGGGAAUACAUUUUGUACAUUAUACGUUUAACUUUAAAAUUCAAAAUAAAUAGCAUCUACAAAUUAUAUGGAUAGUGAUUAAGGAGAGCACAGAAGAGCAUUUUAAUCUCCUUCUACACCUUGAAACAUCAUGCCUCUAUAACAGAGAUAAGUUCAGAUUGCCUGACAACUGUAACCAUGUGAAGGUUCAACACAAAGGAAAGGAGAAGAGCUCUGAAAAGCCUUGAUAAACACUGAGCUGGUAGGCCUAUCGGAUUGCAUUUUACUCCUAGCCAUCCUUUUAAUUACAUAAUGGAUAUUAUCAGAGGACGCAAAGCGUUAAAUACUGUCGGUAAUUUGUUGGUUUCAUAUGUUAAACUUCUAACAAAAUGCUAUUGUCAUCCCUCUGAUUUUUUACCCCAUUCAGGAACUUCUAUACAUUAUAAUUUAUUGCUGAAAACAUCUUCAAUAGUGAAGGGUUUUUUCCUCUUAAAGAAGAAAUAUUGAGCACAUGGUACAUGUAUGUUUCUACAUAUGUUUCUAUAUCUAUAUGUAUUUUAACCUGUGUGUGAAAUUCUGUUUUCUGAUGGGCAUUGAAAGUGUGGUGCAACUGUGUGACUGCAUGGUUCAAAUGCCACAAAGCGUCUUGCGGCCAGAUCAAGCUGCCGUAAGCUGGCUCUCGUAGUGUAACAGAAGUGCUGUGUUACACAUAUAGAAAAGGAAUUUUGUUCUACUGGUAUGGAGAGUUGUGUGAAAUGGCUGUUUUGUGGAAAGAAGUAUUACUCUUUUAUAAGUAAUUCAACAAGGUAUUUAUGUCCAGGCAUAAAUAAUCUGGAUGUGUUGCUGCAAAACAGAUACUGAAUAACAGACGCAGGGUGUUUAGCACAUAUGGAACUUUAUAUUAACACAAUUGGACUGCUUAUAAUAUUUAAAAAGGCCCUAGAUUAAGCUUAUUAUAGACUUGGUAAUUCAAAAUGAACUAGUUCUGUACCUCUUCUUUGUGGCAUUAGAAGCAAUGCAUUCCUUAGGCCCUUGGAGGGCAAUGACUCAGAGCUAACCUGAACAAGAAUGGACCUUGGCAUGCUCAAUGCCUCAUUUAUUCUGCGCUGCUGAAUCCUUACAGUAAACUAUUCAACCCCUCAGUACAUCAGUCUAAUACACAAUCAAAUAUGCCCUCAAGUUUCAAAGUAAUAUAAGUGUUGAAAACUCCCUCCACCCUUGGAAAGGUACUAGAUAAAAGACCUAGGAUCUUAAGGGUAAAUCAGUACAAGGCCUUCACCUGAGGCCUUUCAUGACAGAACUCCUAACUUCAUGUUCUCUGUAAAUGUGAAGUGCUAGAAUGAUCUUCAGGUGUCUAUGAUGACAGAGAAUAUACAUUAACAUUUUGAAAGCAAAAUGCAGCUACUGUUCUUAGGGGUGAAAAACAAUGUUUAUGAACAGGAUGGAGAGAGAGUCUAGAAAGGCCCUGACUUGCAUUCUGUGGCCCAACAAACAGCACCAGGCCUGACUGCAAUAAUACUCCAAUUACCAAACUCUAGGGGAGGAUAGCUGGCAUUUCCCUCUGUCCGAUGAUUUAAUUGGGCUGUCAGCUAGGGAUAAUUAGUUUCUGGUUGACUGAAAAAAGUGACAGUGACAUCAGCUCUCUGUUAUCCUUUAUUAUUUAAAUUCUUGUAUCGUAACAGGGCCUCAGCACACAGGGCGCUCCUGCGGCAUUUACAAGUCUCUCAUUUUGCAGGGCAAUGGAAAUGCAGCAAAGUAAGACACACAGAAAACAUUUCGAGCUGUUUACCACAUACGUUUUCAUAACACAAGGACUUUUGAGAGCCAAGAUUAUUUCUGUACAGGAAAGUCUGGUAUUGCUUGUUUUACUGGAAAUUUGAUAGUACUGUUACAGAUGUGACAGUCUAAAGCUAUAAACAGGGCAAGGUUUAUAGGGAGAGGCGAUACCUUCCAUUAAUCCAGCUGAUGUGACUGGAAAAAUAAAGAUAAUUUUGGGCACAUGAACCCUUCUUGAGAUCAUGUACCCAAAGCUGGUCUGUUUUUAGUUCACAUGGUCACAUACGCUAUCUGAGCUAUUAAAAGUAUUAAAUUUCUCUCCAGUUCUUGCCUUGCUUAUAGGAAAAUACCUCUGAUGCUAGUAGCGUAUUAUCACAAAAGGUUUAAUUCAUUCUAUUGAAAGCACAGUCCAAAGCAAUUGAUAUAAAUUCUUGUUUCUUUUUUUUUUUGCACAGCAUCAGAAAGAUGCUUUCAUUUAUAUUGAUUUUUGUAACAAUGCUUGAGCUUCUCCAUCAGCAGAGGAGAACACCAGGUUUUUCUCCCACUGUUUUCUUUCACUCAGCUUCCACUCUCCUCCCUUCCCUUAGGCUGUUGAGAACUAGUGGAGCAGGCAGAAAUGGCAGCGCCACAAGCAUUGGCAGCAAUAUACGCAGGCAGUUUCUCUCAGGACUUCUACAGCUGGUAUAUUUUCAAAGUGCAAAGGGAAUAUA